UUUAUAUACUCCUAUAUAUACGUGUUUGUAUGUGUACGUGUACGUGACGUUUAAAAGGUUAGAAUGUCAAAGUUUUGCUAACUUUAUCAUAUUUACGCAGAGAAAAAAUAUUUCGGUACUAUUAUUAAUAUCUUAUUAAUUAAAUCUGAAAUGCUAAUACGAAAAUAAAAUACACUUGGAUGUGUCAUUUGUCAAAUAAAUAUUUGUCUGAAAUAUAUGCAUGAAGUACACUCAGCAAUUAAACAAGGUACGGAGCAAUUUAAAUCAGCGUGCCCUAAGAAAGAAAAAUUGAGAAAAAAGUGUACUGAAUCUAAAUUGGAGAAAGAGGAAGACAUAGGUCCACCUUGUAUCGAAAAACGGCCAUACAUGCUUCCCAGUCAAAUUUGCCCUAAAACAGUCUCUUGUUGUUAUAUAAAAAUGCAGGUAUAAAUAAAAAUAUAAUACAUCAAUAUAUUAUUAUUUGUCUGUACUUAAAUUCGUUAUCGGGAAAAUAACGCAAAGCAUCUCCUAUUACUAAUCGAAUGGUAUUCUAC